CCUACGGGAGGCUGCAGUGCGGAAUAUUGGUCAAUGGGCUUGCGUCUGAACCAGCCACGUCGCGUGAGGGAAGACGGCCCUCUGGUUUGUACACCUCUUUUGUCAGGGAACACAUACUGCUACUUGUAGCGGUAUCAAGCUUACCUAACUAAAAACCAUCGGCAAACGCCUUGCAGACAGCCGCGGUAUUACGGAGGAGGCGAGCGUGAUCAGGAUUAAUUGGGUUUAAGGGGUGCGUGGGCGGAAUGCAAAGUCAGCGUUAAAGUCGCGGGGCCAAACCUAGCUCCACCGUUGAAACUGGCGGUCUUGAGUGGGCGAGAGGUAUGCGGAAUGCGUAGUGUAGCGGUGGAAUGCGUAGAUAUCACGCAGAACUCCGAUUGCGAAGGCAGCAUACCGGCGCCGAACUGACGCUGAAGCACGAAAGCGUGGGUAUCGAACAGGAUUAGAUACCCGUGUAGGC
rnacentral:rRNA from 1 species